rnacentral:rRNA from 1 species
AUCUAUGGCUAUACUACCCUCAACAAGCCCAAUGUCUGAUCUCAGAAGCUAAGCAGGGUUGGGCCUGAUUAGUACUUGGAUGGGAGACCAACUAGGAAGACCAGGUGCUAUAAGUA